CCUCCCAUCCCCCUCCCCAUCUCCUCUGGUCAUUUUAACAAAUUUUAAGUAAGCCGUUCAUUGGCAUUUAUUACACAGACUCUGCUGGGCAAUCAUCCCCACAGUCGGUCUAUCACUUUCUCUGCAACCAUUUGUUGUGGUUUGCAUGUGAACUUCCCCUCACUCCUCAUGUGUUCGAACUGGCUGGUCUUCAGUUGGUGAAACUGUUUUGGAGGGCUGUAGAAUCUUUAGGUGUGUGGAGCCUUGCCUGAAAAAGUGAGUUUCCUGUUCACUGCCCAUUCCUGAAAGCAGAUGCAACGUGACCAGCCCGCCUCCCGCUGCUGUCACUCCGCCUUCCCUGCACGCGGCGUCUGCCCCACCUCCAACUGUGCACCGCAGCAAAACCUUUUCUCCUUAAAUUGCUGUUGUCGGGGCACCCUGCCACAGCAACAGGAAUAACAUGCUUCUGAACACUCAGAGUCCGCCCUCAGUGACACACCUCCUCUGACAAGGCCGCACCUCCUAAUCCUUCCCAAACAGUUCUACCAGCUGAGGACCGAGUAUUCAAACACAUGAGCCUGUGGUGGCCAUUCUCAUUCAAGCCAUCAUACUCCUUUUUGUUUUCAUUUCAGGGCACUGCACCAAGUCUUGUGCCACGCUUCCCACAGCGAAGAGCUGUGUGUCUACCAUGUCAGUGUCUUUUGGGUACUCAUUUUCAGUAAGAAAUGAGCACUGUUUAAGUAGCACUGUUUCCUCUAAGGUAAUAGAUGAAGGUAGCUAUCAAGCAUUGGGAAAUUUCUUAUUAUGUUGGGGUGCUCGUAACUACUGUUAGUGGCUUACUGUAAGAAAGGCAUUUGUAGCCUAAUAGCUACUUAGGGAGAUUGAGUUGUGAGUAUAGUUCAAUGGCAGCGUGUUGCAUGAGGCCUAGUCUCUAUGUGUUUUAAGACAGCCAGGGAGAGGGGGGCAGAUGGGGAGAGAAGAGGGUGGGUAAAGUAGCCACCAAAACCCAGGUCAAUACCAAAGGAACUGAAAAGCUUUCAUUUGUGGUUUAAUUUGUAUUGUUGAGAUAGGGAUUUCUCUGUAUAUUGCUGGCUGCCCUGGAACUCCUAGAAAUCUACCUGCCUCUGCAAGAAAUAACUCCAGAAGACUCCCUCUGCAAAUAGACCAGGGGCAUUGUACAUAGGAUGGAUUCAAGUCACGCUAAGGCAGAUCAGAGUAACUCACCUCUUCAAGCAAAGCUCCACCACCUAAGGAUUCUACAGCCCUCCAAAACGGUUCGCCAACUGAGGACCCGGCAGUUCAAACACGUGGAAGAGCUCCUGCUCCAAACCUUAAGUCCCCCCGUUCUGGAAGAGGGUUCCAGGGUUACUUCCGUUCACUUGGCACCCAGCCAGACACAUCAAAAAUGUUUUUUUGUUUUAGAGAUACCUAGUCGGGAGGCCCAGAGCUCCCCACUGAUGAACUGCUCUUUCAUCUCAUUUCCUCUUCUGUGCCCCUCAAGACCUUGAAAUUCCUCAAGACUCGAGGAGCCCAUCUGCAUUGUAUGUGCGUGUUGCAAAUGGCUUGGUAUCCCCUGGCAAUACACACUGUAUCCUGUUAAGGCUGAUGGUGGGUGGUUUCGUACGUUUGAUAGCCAUAGUGUCAAAUGCUGGUCUAUGCUGGGCGGUUUAACAGCUGGGAGCUCUGAAGCAUGACUGUGUGUUCAUCAUAAGCCAGACUAAUAAAAAGUCCCACCUUUGCAGGUUGGUUGUAAAUACCCA